UACGUAGGGGGCAAGCGUUGUCCGGAAUUAUUGGGCGUAAAGAGCUCGUAGGCGGUUCAGUAAGUCGGGUGUGAAACCCCCAGGCUCAACCUGGGGACGCCACCCGAUACUGCUGUGACUAGAGUCCAGUAGGGGAGUGUGGAAUUCCCGGUGUAGCGGUGAAAUGCGCAGAUAUCCGGAGGAACACCGGUGGCGAAGGCGGCUUCCUGGACCGAUACUGACGCUGAGGCGCGAAAGCUAGGGGAGCAAACGGG
rnacentral:rRNA from 1 species